rnacentral:piRNA from 1 species
GGGGCUGGAGAGAUGGCUCAGAGGUUAAUA